CACGUAGUUAGCCGGAGCUUCCUCCUCUGCUACCGUCAUCAUCUUCACAGAGGACAGAGGUUUACAAUCCGAAAACCGUCUUCCCUCACGCGGCGUUGCUGGUUCAGGGCUUCCCCCAUUGACCAAUAUCCCUUACUGCUGCCUCCCGUAGGAGUCUGGGCCGUGUCUCAGUCCCAAUGUCGCCGUCCAACCUCUCAGUCCGGCUACCGAUCGUCGGCUUGGUGGGCCGUUACCCCACCAACUACCUAAUCGGACGCGAGCCCAUCUUUCAGCGGAUUGCUCCUUUGAUUAUCCUACCAUGCGAUAAGAUAAUGUCAUGCGGUAUUAGCGUUCGUUUCCAAACGUUAUCCCCCUCUGAAAAGGCAGGUUGCUCACGCGUUACUCACCCGUCGCCACUAAGAUAUCCAAGAUUCAUUACCGAAGUACUUCAUCAGCGAAUAUCUCCGUUGACUUGCAUGUAUUAGGCACGCCGCCAGCGUCGUCUCGAGUCCAGGAGUCAACUACUA
rnacentral:rRNA from 1 species